rnacentral:rRNA from 1 species
CGCUGGCGGCGUGCUUAACACAUGCAAGUCGAACGAUGAUGCCCAGCUUGCUGGGCGGAUUAGUGGCGAACGGGUGAGUAAUACGUGAGUAACCUGCCCUUGACUCUGGGAUAAGCCUGGGAAACUGGGUCUAAUACUGGAUACUACCUNCCACCGCAUGGUGGGUGGUGGAAAGGGUUUUACUGGUUUUGGAUGGGCUCACGGCCUAUCAGCUUGUUGGUGGGGUAAUGGCUCACCAAGGCGACGACGGGUAGCCGGCCUGAGAGGGUGACCGGCCACACUGGGACUGAGACACGGCCCAGACUCCUACGGGAGGCAGCAGUGGGGAAUAUUGCACAAUGGGCGGAAGCCUGAUGCAGCGACGCCGCGUGAGGGAUGACGGCCUUCGGGUUGUAAACCUCUUUCAGUAGGGAAGAAGCGAGAGUGACGGUACCUGCAGAAGAAGCGCCGGCUAACUACGUGCCAGCAGCCGCGGUAAUAC